rnacentral:rRNA from 1 species
AUAAUUAGCCCGCCAGAAGAUUACAAGCAUAAGCUCAAAACUCAAAGGACUUGGCGGCGCUUUAAACCCAUCUAGAGGAGCCUGUCCUAUAACCGAUAAUCCCCGUUAAACCUUACCUUCUCUUGCUCCCAGCCUAUAUACCGCCGUCGUCAGCCCACCCUGUGAAGGCCCACUAGUAGGCAAAACUGGUCCAGCCCAAAACGUCAGGUCGAGGUGUAGCAUAUGAGAAGGAAAGAGAUGGGCUACAUUUCCUACACAGGGAACCACGGAUAGUACAAUGAAAUGUGUACAUUGAAGAAGGAUUUAGCAGUAAGUAAAAAAUAGAGUGUUUUACUGAAACCGGCCCUAAAGCGAGCACACACCGCCCGUCACUCUCUCCUAGUCUACCGCCCCAACCCUACAUAAAAAGCCUUACCAGCAAAGGAGAGACAAGUCGUAACAUGGUAACUGUACUGGAAAGUGCACUUGGAUAAACAGAAUAUAGCUAAAUAAAUAGCAUUUCCCUUACACUGAAGAGUUAUCCGUGCAAUUCGGAUUGUUCUGACACCUAACAGCUAGCUUACCUAUUAAAUUACACCAAACACUAUUAUUACCCCCUAACAUCUUAACAAACAAUAAUUAAAACAUUCUACCCCCUAAGUAUGGGCGACAGAAAAGGACCUUAAAAGCUAUAGAAAAAGUACCGCAAGGGAACGCUGAAAGAAAA